UGGGCAUUACCAGCGAGCGCCCAGGGAUUCCCUCUUGAAGAGGGUAAUGGUGUGCCGCAGUAGUACACUCUGUGUAUGUACCCCAGAAAGUGAUUCAAAAAAUAGCAAUUAAGAACCGCAUGGAGGAAAUAUGUGUCGUGUUUAGUCUUCUAUAAGACCUGCUUUCUAUAUGGAUGAUAGCCUUUUUAUACUAGAUGAGUAAAUGUAAUUAAAUCUUCUUUUGAUCUUAAAUUUGUAAAACCUGGUACUUUUUUCACAUGUAAGUCAGUUUUUGAUGCAUUUGGUAUCCUUUUACUUCAGAUGAUUGAGCGGAAAUCUGAUCUGGCUAGGCUAGAGGCACUUGAUUGCGGGA
rnacentral:lncRNA from 1 species